rnacentral:rRNA from 1 species
CUAGCUUGCUAGAAAAUUUGAGAGCGGCGAACGGGUGAGUAACACGUUGGUAUCUGCCCCCAAGUCAGGGAUAGCCAUUGGAAACGAUGAUUAAUACCGGAUAGUCUCUUCGGAGUAAAAAUUUAUUGCUUGGGGAGGAACCUGCGGUCUAUCAGCUAGUUGGUGAGGUAAUAGCUCACCAAGGCUAUGACGGAUACCUGGUCUGAGAGGAUGAUCAGGCACAAUGGAACUGAGACACGGUCCAUACUCCUACGGGAGGCAGCAGUGAGGAAUCUUCCACAAUGGACGAAAGUCUGAUGGAGCGACACCGCGUGAAGGAUGAAGGCCUAACGGUUGUAAACUUCUUUUCUGAAGGAGCAUAAUGAGAGUACUUCAGGAAUAAGGGACGGCUAAAUACGUGCCAGCAGCCGCGGUAAUACGUAUGUCUCAAGCGUUACCCGGAAUCACUGGGUGUAAAGGGUUCGUAGGCGGUUUAAUAAGUUGGAUAUGAAAGACCGGAGCUCAACUCCGUGUUGGUGUUCAAAACUGUUAAACUAGAAUCAGGGAGAGGUAAGUGGAAUUCUGUGUGUAGGGGUGCAAUCCGUAGAUACACAGAGGAACACCAAAAGCGAAGGCAACUUACUGGAACUGUAUUGACGCUCAUGAACGAAAGCGUGGGUAGCGAAAAGGAUUAGAUACCCUUGUAGUCCACGCCCUAAACGAUGAUAACUAAGUGUUGCGACUCGCUCGCAGUGCUGAAGCUAACGCGAUAAGUUAUCCACCUGAGGAGUACGGUCGCAAGAUUAAAACUCAAAGGAAUAGACGGGGACCCACACAAGCAGUGGAUCACGUGGUUAAUUCGACAAUAAACGGGGAACCUUACCCAGACUUGACAUCUAUCGAAUC